CAUUAUUCGUAGUAGACGUUUAGGCGUCAACUAGUGCGCUUGGUGCGCUUUAACAUAUCGGCUGUGCGUCGCUGAAGGACGCUGAGCAGGAACCAACACCGUCCAAAACAGCAGGAUCCACAUAGUUGGAUGGACUGGUAAUAGUCUGGCGCUAAUAUUGGAGCAAAAGCACUAACAAAAGGCAAAAGCGACUAGGAGUAGGUGACAACUUUCUAUUGUUAGGUAGUUGACUGGAGGAGGCUAGAGCUGUAUGGUGGGAAACGCAACGAAACGUUCUGAAGAGCGGACAGUUAGGGACCAUUCUAUCGAGACAUACUACGAACUACGGAAAAUACAAAAUGACAAACAUCCUAUUGUGUCCUUUUUGGAUUUGCCCGAACACCCGAUGUGUCGAGUGCUGUCACCGACGAAGUGCAGCGUGAUGGAGCUGCCAUCGUUUGUAAGGAGUUGCUGCCCACGCGAUCGAUGCAGCCAAUAUUCGACGCGCGGUAGUUGGCAGAAAUGUUCGUCACUUUUGUAGUCGUUGUCGCUGUAGUAAAUGCGUAAGCAAUUUCGCUCGCUGGCUGAUGGCCUGAUGGUCGACCCGAUCAAAGUGUGCAACGCUCAGUGCCAAUGGUGUCAUUAAUCAUCCGAAAGUAAUGGCAUUUUAUAGAGCUUCGCUCGACAAUGCAAAAAAAAAUUGUGGCAAGUUCAGUGAAUGACAGUUGAUAGUUAUUGGCCAUGGACUUGAAUAUUGAAUUGGCAGGCUUACGCGCUUGGUACGGAGAUUACGAUUGGGUUCACAUGGGGUUGUGGACGUUUGAAAGUGCAUUUUUUCAAACACUUUAGGCCUUGAGCGAAACUACGACCUACGCGGGGCUAAAGUAAAAUUACUUUGCUGAAAUCUUACCAGUAUCUACUAAACGAAUUUCGAAUAUUUAAACUUUAAUAAAAACUGCGGAGUGUUGUGAAAUCAA